UCUGUCGGUAUAUCCCAACAAGUAGAAUAGAUGAUAUUGCCACUGAGAAGCCAAGCUGGCUCAAAUCGUUAAGCUGGAGUCGGGGGAGAAAAAAUAAAUGAUGGCCAUUAGAUGUCGAUCGAAAUCUUCGAAUCAGAUGCCAGAUUUUUGAUUAAUUUUUCAACUCAGAUCCUAUGGCCAUUAAAAACAGAAAAGUGCUUACACGGGGUUUCCUUUGGUAGGCCCUCAAUGCCUACAGAAAAUGUUUGAGUUUUUAAAAAGAGAAUUCAAGAUGUCGAAUGUGGAGUAUGGU
rnacentral:lncRNA from 1 species